rnacentral:lncRNA from 1 species
UUGAACUACACUCCCCUCUUCGACAGGCCCAUCAGGAUCAUGCUCUCGAACCGUGACCCCAGCACGCGAAAGAGCGGCAAAGGUAACAUUUUUAUCAAAAGCCUAGACGCCUCUAUCGACAACAAGGCCUUGUUCGAGACCUUUUCGAGUUUCGGAACCAUCCUCUCAUGCAAAGUUGCAACUGACGUGACCGGACAGUCCAAGGGAUACGGGUUCGUCCAGUUCGAGAAGGAGGAAUCUGCUCAAGCAGCAAUUGACAAACUAAACGGAAUGCUAAUGAACGACAAGCAAGUAUACGUGGGACACUUCAUCAGACGCCAAGAACGCUCUCGGGAAGAAAACGCCCCUACGCCGCGUUUCACUAACGUGUACGUCAAGAAUCUCCCCAAGGAGAUUGGUGAGGACGAGCUAAGGAAGACGUUUGGUAAAUUUGGAUCGAUUUCGAGCGCGGUUGUGAUGAGGGACCAGAGUGGAAACUCGAGGUGUUUCGGGUUUGUGAACUUUGAGUAUGCCGAAGCAGCGGCGCAAGCCGUUGAGAAGAUGAAUGGGAUUAGCUUAGGGGAUGAUGUGUUGUUCGUUGGGAGGGCGCAGAAGAAGUCUGAGAGAGAGCAAGAGCUGAGAAGGAAGUUUGAGGAAGAGAGGAUGAACCGGUUUGAGAAAUCUCAAGGAGCAAAUCUGUAUUUGAAGAAUCUUGAUGAUAGCGUUGAUGAUGAGAAACUCAAGGAGAUGUUCUCUGAGUUUGGAAAUGUAACCUCUUCCAAGGUAAUAGCAAAAAAAAUGCAUGCAAAUAUCUUUUUUUUAUUGAUGUUACGUUUGUGUUUGAACACAACUCCUCUAAUAAUAUGUGAAAGGUUAUGGUUAAUCCACAAGGAAUAAGCAGAGGGUUUGGUUUUGUUGCUUAUUCCAAUCCUGAAGAAGCUUCAAGAGCCGUGAGUUGCCUAAAGCUUUUUUACUCUUCUCUUUUGACAUCUGAGAUAUGAAGUAAUAUUUAUAACAAUGCAGCUGAAUGAAAUGAACGGGAAGAUGAUAGGAAGGAAACCACUUUACAUAGCUCUUGCGCAGCGCAAAGAAGAUAGACAAGCACAUUUACAGGUUUCUGAAUCAAACUCUCUUUAUUCACAUAUAUUUUUUAAAAAUGUGGUUUGUUAAAGCUGUGUUGUGUGACUGAUUACGUCAUGCUAUUUUCAGGCGCUGUUUUCACAGAUUAGAGCACCAGAGUCAAUGCAAUCUCCAAUGACGGGGUUUAAUCACCCACGAGGUGGACCAAUGCAUGGUCCACCUCAGCACAUGUACGUAGGCCAGAAUGGGCGUUCAAGCAUGGUCCCAUCCCAGCCCAUGGGAUAUGGAUUCCAGCCUCAGUUCAUGCCCGGGAUGCGUCCAGGAUUUUUUGAAAUAUUUCAUAUUAAAAAAUGGUGUCGGCCAAGAAUAAUCAUUAUCCUCUGGACACCUCUCUCUUAAAAGCUGGACAUGUCCCACGAGUCUCCCUCACAUAAAUUUCCUUUAAAGAAAACAAUUUAUUUCUAAUUAAAAAAAAAAGAAAACUUUUUAUUUGUAAGAUUGUAGAUCGAACUUGGCGCUUCUUUGCUUUCUUGAAUCCGAAGAACAGAGUUAAGUACAAGAAGCUGUGGAACAUGUCGAUGCGAAGAAGAAGUUUGCUUAAAGUUAUUGUCCUUGGAGACAGCGGGUUAGCCUUUUUUCACUUUUGUACCUUACCUGAUCAAUUCUUUAACCUUCUUUUUGCUAAUCUUGAUCUUUCUGUUUUAGGGUUGGCAAAACAUCGUUGAUGAAUCAGUAUCCUCACAUAGUUUUGAUUCUUUCUUUCUGUCAUCUUACUUAAUCUAUUUUUUAGGAUUCUUGGUUUUCAAUUUUCUGUUCAAGAAUCUGUGGAAGCCUUAACGGGUCUCUGUGUAGAUAUGUGAGUAAUAAGUUUAGUCAACAGUACAAAGCCACGAUUGGAGCUGAUUUUGUCACCAAGGAGCUUCAAAUCGAUGACAGGCUCGUCACACUCCAAGUAUGUUUCUUCUCUUGUCUUCUUAUCUGCUUUUUAUUUUAGUUUCUAGUCUAUAUGUUUGUGUCUGUGUGUGUGCUUUAGAUUUGGGACACUGCUGGGCAAGAGAGGUUCCAGAGUCUUGGUGUUGCUUUCUAUAGAGGUGCAGAUUGUUGUGUGCUUGUUUAUGAUGUUAACUACCUCAAGUCAUUUGAUUCUCUGGACAAUUGGCACGAGGAGUUUCUUAAGCAGGUUCUUUUGCCCUUUCUACCUUUUUCUCCAAUUUUUUUUUUCUGGAAGAUUUUUCUUCUGUGAGUGAAUCUUGAAUGUUUUCUUAGGCUAGCCCACGGGAUCCAACGGCCUUCCCGUUCAUAUUGCUUGGUAACAAGGUUGAUAUUGAUGGAGGAAACAGUCGAGUGGUAAGUCAGCCUUGGCUUCUUAAUAUAGACAAAACUGAAAAGAUGAGGAAGUAAUAUUGUUAUUCUUAUGAAUGAUAUAAUAUGAUUACUAUAACAACUGAAAAUGUUUUGUAAUAACGAGUGUUAUGUUCCUUGCAUAUAUUAACUUCAGGUAUCAGAGAAGAAAGCUAGAGAAUGGUGUGCUCAAAAGGGAAACAUAUGCUAUUACGAGACAUCGGCUAAAGAAGAUUACAAUGUAGAUGAAUCGUUCUUGUGCAUCACAAAACUUGCCCUUGCCAAUGAGCGCGACCAAGAUAUGUAAGCAAGCCUCUUAUUAUCCUAAGGCUUAAAAAAAAGGAUUCUAAAAGGGGUCGUGCUCGUGGAUGAUGAAACUGUUCCAUUAAAACAUUUUUCUUUGAUUUGGCAGAUAUUUUCAGGGGAUUCCAGAGUCUGGUUCAGAGCCUGAGCAAAGAGGAGGAUGUGCUUGCUGAAGAGAAACAUCUGUUUUAGCUAUGUUUGAUUUGUGCCAUUAGUUUUCUUUGUUUGCAUUGCACCAGUUGUUGAAGUAGUAGGAAAAACUCUGUAAAGUCUGACUAAUUCUCUUACCUUAUCUUGUCCGGUUAAACCAAUAUUAAUCAAUUCCGGUUCGGUCUGCUACAUAUUUCUGUGGGGCUAUCUUUGCAACAUUCGAUUUGCAGCUUGGGAUGGUGAUCAAUAAGUUAUAUAAUUAAGCUAGCAUCAUAUUUCUUGUCAUGAGAUCAUAGUAAUGCUCUACCUUUCCUUUACCAGAUUUUGUUAUGCAUUUGGCUCUUACAUGAGAGUCGUUUACUCUUUUAUAUUUCAGGUAUGGAUCGUCUUUAAAGUAUCUAGCUGGAUAUUGGAAUAAUAUUGGUUGCUCUGUCACCAUCUCUCGGCAAGUACAAUAUAUCUCAAAGUUUAAAGUCUUGACGGAUCCAUUCACCACCCAUCAAUCUAUGGAGAAUUUUUUUUAACAUUCAUCUUUGUUCUCUCUUUCUCAGCUUUGGCAGUUGGCACGAGCCUAGUCAUUGUCGUGCAGCUAUUCCGUCUCUCUUCCCUAAAACCUAAUAAAACGUUAGUCUAAGACGAUAGACUAAUAUAGAUACUAAAAUGUAGCUUAUCAAAUAUCAACAUACUUCUUAUAAUUUUUGUUAAAUUUUUAAAAAUCUUUUGGGUAGAGGAGGAAGCAAAGAACAAAACAAGGCUAAUUUUUUUUUCUUUUUUACCAAGGCUAAGUUAGUGAACACUCUCAUGGGUCGUGGCAGGGCUGGAGAUACGUAUGAGCACAUUCAUCCUCGGUUUUGCGUAUGUGAAGCUUUGUGAUUUCAUUUUUACACACAAAAAACAUUUAUUUAUCCAUUACAAGUUUGUAAGUUGCAUGUAAUAUUGGAUAUCUGUAUAUAAUUUCUUUUUAUAUGACAAACUAUAUUACCGUUAACCUGUUAAAUGAAAAAACUGCCCUUUUGGGCAUGAUGAUGAUGACUCAUGUUGAUUGAUGUAGUAAUCGAAAUGUUGGGAUCAUGACUUGGAAAACCAGAUAUGGAUUGAGCUCUUUUCUCAGGAUCUUUUGGGCUUUGGGCUAGCCUUUCAAUUUUGUUAAAAGCAAAAGGUUGGUGUUUUAAGGUAAUGAAAACAUUAAAAUGAGAAGUAUGAGAUAACAAUUAGGAAUGAACUGCUCAUGCUUUAAUAGUUAGUGAUUACUAGAAACACAAUAGAAACUAAACCUAAUUCAAUAAAAAGGACCGGUAUGGAGAAGACCAAGGCGUUAUGGCUUACAGUAAAAGUCUGACUGGUAUAACCACAACAGCUGCGGGAGCUUGCGAUGCAGGUAGUUGCGGUUUUAAGAGAUUUGUACGACUAGUACUGCGGUUAGAAAUUGGUGCGUUUGCGAGAUACUUAUGACUGAUUAGCCACCAAAUACAACAGUGGUUAAAUAAUAAAUUAACAAUAUUUACAUUUUAUAUAAUUAUAAAAAUAUUAAACAUCAUAAUAUUAUAUAAAUAUAAAAUUAUAUUUUUAAAAUUAUAUUUUUAAAUUUUUAAAUUUUUAAAAAUUAUAAAAAUAUUUUAUUUUAAAAAUUUAUAAUAAAAAUUAAAAUAUAAUAGAUAUAUCUUUAGUAUUUCUAUUAUUUUAAUUUAAAAUUUUUAUUUUUAUUUUUGUAUUUUUAUUGUUUUUAAAAAACAAAAAAAAAAACAAAUUUUACCCUCCCGCAACCGUAAACGCUAGCUGGAACCAACUUUUGAAUUUAAGAGGUUUAAAAUAGUUUGAAUAAGCGAUUUAGAGCGGUUUGAGUGAUUGUUACAAAACGCCAAUAAUAACUACUAACCGUAAAAGCUGCGUUUGCGGAUGGUAGCGGAAAAACCAGUCAUGCCCUAAAUAAUUCCUAACAUUUUAAAUCAAGAAAACCUGUUACCAAUUAUUGUUUGGUUGUUUGAUUUAAAAUCAACUCACAAAUUUGAUUCAAAUGAUACAGUGUCACUUUAGCAUAUAUUUCAAUUCUAACAACCAUAAUAAAUGCAAAUGGAUUAAUUUUCUUAAAUUAAUCAAAUUUUAAUUAAAUCACAAAUAAUAUUUCUGCAAGAUUUUAAGAUUUUUUUUGGUUUUUUGUUCAUUCUAUAUUAUUUACGUAUUCAUCACCAUAUUGUCAUAAUUUUUUUUUACUGAUAUAAAAACUACACAAUUGAAAAGAGAUGAAAAGACUUUCCUAGCAAUAUACAUGGAUCAUAAACUCGUUAAACCCAACUUUGAGGAACUAAAUAUAGUUUUAUAUGUUGUUAUUUGGUCAAAGAACAAAAAUGGACAAACAUAUCUAUUUAUGGUACUGUUUACAAUUAUCUUUAGUCAUGACUAGAGACCAAAUCAAUAGUUGUUAGCUAUACUCCUAAAAAUAGCUAUACUCCUAAACAUAGAUGGGUGCUUGUAUUUUAAUCCAAUCGAAAUUUGUCAAAAUUUAUCGUAAAUCAAAUUAAUGUGUGAUAUUUGAAAAAAAACGAUGAACCUAUAAGAGAAAAGUGACAUCUUAAAUCUCAAAAACAUUAAAAGAAUCAUAUUGAACACGUCUAGUUACAGUAAUCCAUGAUCUGGUCAAAAUGAUCUAAAAUUAGUUUAGUGUUCUAUUUGUGGUAAUGUAGAUAAAUAUCUUAGCCAUGACCAAAUCAAUAGUUCCCAGAUUCGCAAACUCUACUCCUUAAGAUAGAUGGGUGUUUGUUCUGUACCAUUAUUAUACAAGCUAGUCAAAUGUUAUCAAUACAUUUGUUAGUAAUUAGUAUGUAUUAAAUAAUUAAAAUAAAAUAAAAAUGAUUAUCUUGAAUGCAUUAAAUUUUAUUUGAUAUGUAAUCAUGAUUAAGUUUUAACCAACAAAUUAAGAUUUUUUGUAAAACUUUAAAAUAUUAAAUUAUGUGACUUCCUUAUAACCAUUCUAUAUAUAAUAAUUUUUUUUUGAGAAAAUAUAUAUAGUUAUUUAACUUCUAAAACCAGUAUAAUAUCAUAUUAAUAUUGUUUAUUAUUCAUAAAUAUUUUGAUAUUAUAUAUGUUAAUAUAUUUUUAAAUAAUACAUUCUAAGAGGUACGUUUUCAUUAAAAAAAUGUUAUCAAUAUCUUAGACCAUUUGUAUUAUUUCUAUAAUCUAAAAUUAUAACAUAUACGAUUAUUAUGGUCUAAGGGUUUAUAAAAAAGUUUGGUUCGUUACACCUUUCAGUUUUUUUUUGUGUGUUAUAGAACUAUAUGAAUCAUCUAGUUCCAGACUCAUUGAGACAUGUUAUUUCAUCCUGAUUUUUUUAUGGUGUAUAAAAAAGCAACUACUACUGUGAAAGAGACAUCAUCAUCCUGAAAUAUGAGCCUAUAAAACACACACAAACAAGUAAAAAUACAAGAGAAGAAAGAAAAUUGUAAGUCUUUUCAUAUUAAAAAUAAAUAAUUAAGUCAUUUUCUCAUCUAUAAAUACCUUAGACACACUCUUCAGAUCGAAUCGAUUUUCCCCUCACCAAUCCUCUCGAUCAUUGGAGGAAACUAAAAGGGAAAAAAAAAUCGACAUAAGAAUAAAAACAAUUUCCCUUAAAAAUAAGGAAAUGAUAAACUUUGAAGAAAAUAUACAAAACACCAUCUCUCUCACUUAAAGCCCCUAGAGAAUCUAAUCCUCCCAUUAUUCUUUUAAGGAUCGGUGAUUCUCUAAAAAGGUAAACGCACGAGCAUGGCGGCCGCGGUUGCGACGGGGGUUGCACCGUCGACAAUGAUUGAUCAAGUUCCGAGUCCGACGGCGGCUCAGACUUCGGUUCAGGUUUCGGUUUCGGUACCGGUUCAAUCUCCAGUGGUUGCGGCUGAUCAAACGCAUCCGAAUUCAUCGCUCUACGUGGGAGAUCUAGACCCGAGAGUGGCCGAAGCACAUCUGUUCGAUCUGUUCAAACAUAUCGCUAGUGUUGUCUCGGUACGAGUCUGUCGCGAUCAGAGCCGUCGAUCUUUGGGAUAUGCCUACAUCAAUUUCAGUAACCCUAAUGAUGGUAAAAUACACGUUACUCUAUCGCUUCAUGCUCGAGUUAGGGUUUCAUGUAAUCAAACACUCUCAUGAAUUGCAUUACAAUAAAGAGAAUUAUACUAUUCACACUAGUAUUACGAUCAUCGUUUUUUUUCACCUUUUAAUAAUUAUAUUUGCGAAAACUUCAUAUACAUAUUCUUUUUUUUGUUCUUUAAAAAAACUUCAUAUUCUACUAUUCAUGCAAAUCACUAUGUUCCAAUGUAGCGUUUUGUUAGACCUGCUAUUUAAUUAUAGUCAGUAUAUUGUAACACUGAUGCAUCAUUGACAUGUAUCGUUUGAAUACAGGAGCAUUCGUAGAUGUUGCCCAUGCAACUUUUCUAUAAAGAUUCUUUCAAUAGGAAAAAAAGAACUUUUCUAUAAUGAUAUGCUUGACAAAAACGUGAUUAAUUAGUGUGUUUGGGCCUUAUAUAUGUCAUCGCAGAUGCAAGCUAGUCUUUUACUUUUACAAUAACGAUCUUAUAUAUUUCUAAGCUAUUUAUAUAUGAUUGGUUAACUAAUAAAGGUGAGUUAUUUUCCUAGCUAUCCGCGCAAUGGAGGCCUUGAACUACACUCCCCUCUUCGACAGGCCCAUCAGGAUCAUGCUCUCGAACCGUGACCCCAGCACGCGAAAGAGCGGCAAAGGUAACAUUUUUAUCAAAAGCCUAGACGCCUCUAUCGACAACAAGGCCUUGUUCGAAACCUUUUCGAGUUUCGGAACCAUCCUCUCAUGCAAAGUUGCAACUGACGUGACCGGACAGUCCAAGGGAUACGGGUUCGUCCAGUUCGAGAAGGAGGAAUCUGCUCAAGCAGCAAUUGACAAACUAAACGGAAUGCUAAUGAACGACAAGC